AAGUCGUAACAAGGUUUCCGUAGGUGAACCUGCGGAAGGAUCAUCAUCGAAUUUUUCAUCCCCUCCUCCUCCACGGAGGAGGAGGGUCCAUGAUAAACCCUUCUGUGCACCGUAUACCGUUCACUUUGGCUGGCUUUGGUGUGUCGACCACACUCCAACCGUGCGUUCCCCCCUCCUCCUGGUGGGGCUACGCGCGGCGGCCAGCCAGAGUCCUGCGUAAAAAAACUCGUUUUUCUUGAACCCGUCUGAAAAUAUUCUCCUUUGAGAAAUCAAAGAAAACACGAAAACAACUUUCAACAACGGAUCUCUUGGCUCUC
rnacentral:misc_RNA from 1 species